UGGGUGACGGUGAAUUGCGUGGUCGCCAAGGGAGUCCAUGCGAGUUUGCAUUUUUUUUUUUUUUUUUAUUAAUUUGUGGCCUGCACUAAGUCUAAUUAGAUACUGUGGAGAUGAAAGUGCUCUGGUAGAAUAAAAAAAAUGGACAGGAACAAGAAUGAAAGAACAAGAGGAACUACUAAAGUCUAGCUAUGAAAGAAGACUGCAGCUUAGGCUAGGUAGUAGGUACCUAGGCUAGCUACUUUAUGUUCAAAUGAUGAGAAGGGAUGACAUACCCUAGGUCUACAGGGAGGAGAGUAAUGUUGUCUGGAGACGCCUGGUGAGAGAGGAAGACCAAAGCAAGGUGAAUGGAUGUAAUUAAAGAUCUGAAAGACAAACAGUAAUCAUAGGACGAUGUGUUGGACGAGCCAGGUGGUGGAAAGCUGUCAAAAAAGAUGCAGAGAAAGAAGACAACUGAUGUCCAGUAUCUCAGGAUUUGCUUUGUGCAGCGAAGGAUUUCUCCGAGAACGACGUUUAAUUUGUUAUUCACGUGGAUUUGGUUCCUCCGUCUUAGGAAGGUACCUUAGAAUUCGUUAUGUUGAAUCCUUGUAUUAACAUGUGCAAGGGCCUAGUCUGGAACUGCAUGUGUAGAACAACUGUUUUGGUUUCAUGAUGAGUAGAGCAGAAACCAGAAGUUAAAAAUCACAGAGGUCCACAUUUCUUUUAGGCCACCAAUCACUCAAUGACUUGUAUUGGGCAAGAUUUCGGUGCUGUCAUCAGGCCAUCUUGGUGUAGAUCCACGAGUUAACGGAAAAUUACGAAUACAAUUGAAUUUUCGCCUGUUGCUUUUCAUUUUGGCAGUUGCUUCCUUGACUCUUAAAUAAAUUAUAGACUUAAUUUACUUUACUGUAUACUUUAGAUGAAUAUCUUGGUUAAAUUUCGCAUAGUGGCCCAAUGUAGUAUUUUAGACGUGAAUGAAACCGAAUAGAAAAUUAAUAAAUCUGGGUUAAUUGCCCCAUAGAGACCCAAUAUAAUAUUUUUGGUAUUUUAUUUAUGGACAUUAAUAAUGUA